AAGAAAACCAGAAGUUCUAACAUUUGAAGUAUUUGGUUGUCUACAAUUUUCUUCUGGAAAAAAUGAUUCUCUGACAUAAAAUAUUGAACAUUUUCACUUCUCCUGAUUUUUUUUUCUCUGAUAUAAUAUAGAGCCACCUUAGAUACAAUUUAGUAGGUAAUAUAUUUGACGGUCGCAAAGGAUUCAAAUAGCUAUUGCAAGAAUGAACUGAUGCUAAAGCUUAAGCUCUGGUUAGUUUAGGAAUAUUCCAAGUACAUGACAUGCAAAAUUUCUAUACGUAAUCCCUUUGAAGAGUAAUAGAUUCUACCCUGCGUUCCUUUACCUUUUACAACUUCUACGACUAUUUAGGUGAGUCAUAGUUUAUUACCUUUCAUAAACUUCCUUUGUUGGUUUAAAAUUGCAUUACCUGCGGCUGCCAGAGACCUGCGAUUACAUAUUCUGUUGUGAAAACUGUGUAUGUUACCAUGCAUUCACUCACAUUUUCUUUUGUCAGCAAUGUCAUUAUACUUUAAACGGGUAUGCUAUGCAAUUUGAUCAAGUAUAGUUGACAUGUUUCUAGUAUAGAGAUAUCUUGUAUAGUGAAGUCAUAACUUUUCGUUCUUUUAUUUUUUGUUUGAUGUAUAUUUUAUAUUCUAGAAGAGCUGCAUGGUUUAUCUAAAUAACUGGUUGACUUUUACCUACUUUUAAUGCAUUUUCAGGUUCCUUCGAUUACCUCGGUGAAGAUAUACCCAUAGAUGAUAUAGAUGAUACAGAGGAUUUCAAAGAGGUUGACCUGGAAUAUGCUCAAGAAAGAUGAAUCUUAAGCUCAGAUCUUGGGAUUGAUUGGCUUUAAGGAUCGUUGAUUGUGCCCAGCAAAAUGGACCAAAAUCUAUGUUCAUUGGCAGUGCUUCUGGGUCAUCCAAUGAACUCCUAAAAGAUUCCUCAUUCGUUCCUUAACUAGGGAGGAAAACUGAUUGGCUAAAAUGGGCAUCAGACUUGGUGAAACUGAAAAC